rnacentral:misc_RNA from 1 species
UCCGGUUUAGACCGGCGGUCUCCCUAGAGAUUUCAACUAAGGACAAGGGUUGCGCUCGUUGCGGGACUUAACCCAACACCUCACGACACGAGCUGACGACAGCCAUGCAGCACCUGUGCACGGGCUCCGAAGAGGGGCUCUGGUUUCUCAAAGCUUUCCCGUACAUGUCAAGCCUAGGUAAGGUUCUUCGCGUUGCGUCGAAUUAAACCACAUGCUCCACCGCUUGUGCGGGCCCCCGUCAAUUCCUUUGAGUUUCAGCCUUGCGGCCGUACUCCCCAGGCGGGGCACUUAAUGCGUUAGCGCCGACACUCAAGGGGUCGCUCCCCCAAGCAUCUAGUGCCCAUCGUUUACGGCGUGGACUAC